rnacentral:tRNA from 1 species
GGCCGCCUAGCGUAAUGGUUAACGCGCUAGUUUCCGGUGCUUGGAUAGCUAGAGAUUGUGGGUUCGAGUCCCAUGGUGGUCG